ACCUACCUGUUUCAUCUACUUGAAGGCAUUGAACUCCCAAAGUCUCAGGAUCCAAAGUUUGCAGGACGAGUCCAGUGGGACAAAGACGUCCUCACAGAAGGACGCCUCACACUUCAUGUCUCCAGACUCAGGACCAGUGACUCUGGGUUUUAUCGGUGUGACAUACGCGUCAUACCUGGUGGGAAUAACUCUAGGGGAUGCUGGCUCAACGUCAUUGCUGCUGCUGAGCUCCAAACUCAGAGACCAACAGAGAGACACAGAUACAUCUUGAUCUACGUUGUACUGGCAGUUACAGUAACUCUACUGUCUCUCUCUGCCGCUGUCUGCAAACCGCGGCUCACCAAAUAUCUUUGUAGGAAAAUAAACAACAGUGAAGUGGAACUGAGGAUGAGUUCCUCAGAUAUUGAAGCCCCAGGGACCAUUGAAAAUGAGUCUGAAACACCCUUUUUGAAUGAACCAUCGGAGCACAAUAAAACAAGACAGAGGGUCUCAUCAGGUAGUGAAUUAUUUAGCCAGUAGAUGUCACUGUUCUACACGUAAAUACAUAUUUAUCCCAGAUUUAUCCUUAGUAUUUAUCGUCUUCGGUGCUAAGGUGUGUGUUGGAAGGAAUUCUCUGGAUGACGUCCAUCAAGCAGUGAAAGAGGAAUGAGGAAAUACCUGUUUGGCUAUAAAGGGAACUAAAAUGUACUGCGUUGCUAAAAAAUAGACAACUAUGAUGAUUCACUUCUAAAAGUUGUGACAACCAGCCGAUAGAAACAUAAACAAACGCCUCCUGCGGAGAUUUGUGUCAUAAAGUUUGUUAAUUCUCAGUUUCUCUGACGCUGUGUUCCUGUGUUAUCCUUGAUGCAUUUCGCUGCUGUUGAUGUUUCUGUUUAUUUUGCAUUUCUUCAGUCAUUUUUUGUAGUUUUAUCUGGUCUCCUCUGGGUACGCUUUUGGCCCUUUUUGGUCAUUUUGUUGCUCUCUUUUUUGUUACUAUGUCCCUUUUUUAUGAUGUGUGAAUCUUGUAAUUGCUUAUCGACUUUUCUCGGUACUUUUGCUUCUCUUUUAGGUUAUUUUGUAACUUAUGUCGCACCUUUUGUGGGUAUUUCAGAAGGGGCAGGUCAAAUAAGAUUUUCUUCUCCCUGCUCCUUUCCACCAUUAA